rnacentral:rRNA from 1 species
CCUACGGGCGGCUGCAGUGGGGAAUAUUGGGCAAUGGGCGCAAGCCUGACCCAGCAACGCCGCGUGAAGGAAGAAGGCUUUCGGGUUGUAAACUUCUUUUCUCAGGGACGAAGCAAGUGACGGUACCUGAGGAAUAAGCCACGGCUAACUACGUGCCAGCCGCCGCGGUAAUACGUAGGGUGCGGGCGUUAAUCGGAAUUACUGGGCGUAAAGGGUGUGCAGGGGGUUUUGCAAGAUGGAUGGGAAAGCCCCGGGCUUAACCUGGGAAAGCCAUACAUGACUGGAAGACUAGAGUGCGUCAGAGGGGGGUGGAAUUCCAAGUGUAGCAGUGAAAUGCGUAGAUAUUUGGAAGAACACCGAUGGCGAAGGCAGCCCCCUGGGACGCAACUGACGCUCAUACACGAAAGCGUGGGGAGCAAACAGGAUUAGAUACCCUGGUAGUC